rnacentral:ribozyme from 1 species
UGCCCAGACUCCUAUCCCUAUCUCCUCGCGGUACCGGCCGGAAACUAUGAGCAACCUUAGGGAAGAUCGGGUAAGCAACCCCGGUGGGAACUUUGGUCGUAGGCUGACAGGGAAGG